rnacentral:rRNA from 1 species
UACCAGCACCCCGAGUGGUCGGGACGAUUAUUGGGCCUAAAGCAUCCGUAGCCGGUUCUACAAGUCUUCCGUUAAAUCCACCUGCUUAACAGAUGGGCUGCGGAGGAUACUAUAGAGCUAGGAGGCGGGAGAGGCAAGCGGUACUUAGUGGGUAGGGGUAAAAUCCGUUGAUCCAUUGUAGACCACCAGUGGCGAAGGCGGCUUGCCAGAACGCACUCGACGGUGAGGGAUGAAAGCUGGGGGAGCAAACCGG